GCCAUCUGUCUUGGCCUUAAUCUAUUCCAUUACUGAAACUGCCUGAAGAGUUUUUUAUUUGACUUAGCUCUAUUAUUUUAUUUCCAUCAUUUCAGAUUUUUUUGAAGGCCUCUUUCACAUCAUUCGUCACCUUCCUUAUUUUGUUAAGCUGUUGCUUGUGAUUUUAUAUGAUACAUAAUCACUAUUUUGAGUUCUAUAGUCGGGAGUUUAUCUAACUUAUUUCCACUAGAUGUUAUUAUUAUAAGGUUAAUAUUUUUAGAGGAAUUGUGUUCCGUUUCGGUUUCAUGUUUCUUAUGUUACUAGGCUGGGGUUUGUGCCUCUGGCAUUGGUUUGGUGCUUGGUUUAUGUUUUCUAUUAGCUAUAUGCUUUCGUUGAACUAUGUACAACGCUCAUGUGGGACAUGGAUGUAGAGUAUGUAGUGGAGAAAAUGGUUCUUUAGUCCAAAGUUUUAGAGUGCCUGGUAUAAACUCUAUUAUUAUUUCUUGAAUCAGUUGUUAACUGGAAGAGGAACCACAGAUACUUGAUAUUAUCUCAGUAAAAAAGUCAUACUAGCCAAUUAAAAUCAGGACCCACUUUGACUUCAGUAACUGUUGGAGCACAUACAACCAAGGAUAGUGUGGUUUUGGUUAAUAAGAUCAGAAGCAGAGGGAACACGGCUGAGUAGGAUAAGGAUUAAGAAUUAUAUGGACUUUGAAUGAUAAUUCAGGUGGGUGAAGUAGCUGGGAGAGGAAAGAUGAUACUGCUAUCAUCCAAAGAGUUUAGAGAUUGUUACAUCUAUGAAAGGUCACAAUUGAAAAGUAAAAGGAGCCAGGGAUAGGGAUGAUAGAAAGGUGAUCAGACAGGAGUAGGAGGCUGGAAGAUAUAAUGUAAAGAAUGCCUUAUAGUAAACUGGGUGAAGGGGAUGAAUAACCCUAAAAUAUAACAGCAAUGAUGAAAGUAAAACCACAUGAGGCAUAAGUAAGAAUACGAACUAAAUAAUAGAAAGCAAUUAAUAAAGAGAUGCCUAUGGAUGAAUUGCUGACACCACUGUGCUGAGCUGAAGGUGAUGUUCUCACCCCUCUGGUUCCCAGAGUCUCCAUUUGGUGCUGUUUCUGAGUCAUUUUAAAUUAGUAGUUUUCAUGGUGGGCAGCUUGUUCCGUAGAGAAAACAUGCCGAUAUUUGCAAGAUUUUUUUUCUUUCUGAAACUCAAGGGUAGGUGGAAUGGUAAUGGUGGGAUCUUUGAAGAGAAGCCCAGGAUGCUGCUAAACUCAGCACAGGACAGUCCACUCAAGUGAAGAACCCCGCCCAUGAAAUGGAGCCCUCCACAUUCAGGGGGAUUCUUCUCUACUCAGUUGAACUUCUGUGGAAAUACCCUCACAGAUGUAUCUAGAGGUGCUGUUGUCUUACAAAGAGGAGGAGACUUAGGCUGCUCAUCCAAAGGACUGACAGAUGCUGCCCAGGUGUGGUGAAUAUCCUCUGACAUUCUGGGGCCCUUAUGACAGGGAAAUUGCUCUAGGCAUGUCCAAUGCCCUUAGAUGUUCUCCACUGACUUUCAAAACUCAGUAACACCAUUACAGAAAGCCAGCCCCAACCACUCGGAGGAGCAGCACCUUUCCUUAUGCUUCCCGUGAACCCCUUUCUAUGAGGUCUGUCGACAUACUGCCUUGUAAUGGGUCUUUCACCUGCCUUUCUCUUUGGCUCACUUAGUCGAUGACUGAUUAUGCACUUAGACUAUCCACUGAGCUGAACACAUCUAUAGCCCAGGGUGGAUGACCAGCAAAUGCUUCUUGAGUGAAAGAAUGUAAGAAGUUUAUCAUUUAGUAAAGCAGACAGUGGAAAACUUAUGCCAUUGCAGGCCUAGACCCCAGAAGAAGCUUCUGGCAACUACAUAAAAACAAAACUUGUCUUUGAACUAAGGUUGUGUUUGAAGGUCUCUGAAUUAACGGAAAUCAACAAGGUUAUAGAGCUGCGCUAUCAGUGGAUGGAGGGCAAGGAGGAGAGAAGCUGACUCAUUCCUUUGAGCUGACAAAGCACACAAAUCACUCCAGGCAAAGGGGAGAAACAACGAGCACUCAGCUAUGGAAGUCAGUGCUACAAAAGGGGUUUGAGCAGAUGCCCUUCCUCUGGUCCUGAGGGUGCCCCGUGUCUCCAUCUGGAAGUCAGUAUCUGGACUGUGCUUCUUGUGGCCUCGAUGUUGUGUGCCUCCACCUUCUUUAGGAAAACGCAACCAGAGCAGAAACACGGGGGCAGGUUCUGGCGUGCACCACUGUAUGUGUGAGAGACAUAGGAGGGCAGGAUGGGAGUUUAUAGUAGAGCACAAAAUGCCAAGUUCAACCUGGAAGGGAGAGGGUUUGGAAGAGAGGAUUUCCUUUCUUACUGAUCGUGAGGAGAUCCACACAACCAUGGAAGGAUCAACUGAGAGAAUGUCUACAAAUCACCUAGGAGAAAAAGCAGCACAAGGUUUCUUUUUUAAGUGUUUGGAAUGAUAAUCUAGAGGAAGCAUUGCCAAGGACGUCAUAGAGAGACAACCGAAGAAGCCAAACUCACUGAGCUCUGUUGAAAGCAGGCAGCCUUUCACAGCCCUUUGAUAUCCUGUCACUGUGGUGAUUUGGCAGUAAUUUUGGCAGUGUGAAUGAACAAGAGGUGGGGAAAAAAAAUCUCUUUUGUGCAGUGA